rnacentral:rRNA from 1 species
GACGAACGCUGGCGGCGUGCCUAAUACAUGCAAGUAGAACGCUGAAGGAGGAGCUUGCUUCUCUGGAUGAGUUGCGAACGGGUGAGUAACGCGUAGGUAACCUGCCUGGUAGCGGGGGAUAACUAUUGGAAACGAUAGCUAAUACCGCAUAAUAGUAGAUGUUGCAUGACAUUUGCUUAAAAGGUGCAAUUGCAUCACUACCAGAUGGACCUGCGUUGUAUUAGCUAGUUGGUGGGGUAACGGCUCACCAAGGCGACGAUACAUAGCCGACCUGAGAGGGUGAUCGGCCACACUGGGACUGAGACACGGCACAGACUCCUACGGGAGGCAGCAGUAGGGAAUCUUCGGCAAUGGACGGAAGUCUGACCGAGCAACGCCGAGUGAGUGAAGAAGGUUUUCGGAUCGUAAAGCUCUGUUGUAAGAGAAGAACGAGUGUGAGAGUGGAAAGUUCACACUGUGACGGUAUCUGACCAGAAAGGGACGGCUAACUACGUG